UACGGGGGGGAGCAAGCGUUGUUCGGAUUUACUGGGCGUAAAGGGCGCGUAGGCGGUCGUGACAAGUCACUUGUGAAAUCUCCGGGCUUAACUCGGAACGGUCAAGUGAUACUGUCGUGCUAGAGUACAGAAGGGGCAACUGGAAUUCUCGGUGUAGCGGUGAAAUGCGUAGAUAUCGAGAGGAACACCUGCGGCGAAGGCGGGUUGCUGGGCUGACACUGACGCUGAGGCGCGAAAGCUAGGGGAGCGAACGGG
rnacentral:rRNA from 1 species